rnacentral:rRNA from 1 species
CGGGGUGCAGCAGGCGCGAAAACUUUACAAUGCCGGCAACGGCGAUAAGGGAACCUCGAGUGCCAGGUUACAAAUCUGGCUGUCGUGAUGCCUAAAAAGCAUUGCAUAGCAAGGGCCGGGCAAGACCGGUGCCAGCCGCCGCGGUAACACCGGCGGCUCGAGUGGUAACCGUUAUUAUUGGGUCUAAAGGGUCUGUAGCCGGCCGGGUAAGUCUCUUGGGAAAUCUGGCAGCUUAACUGUCAGACUUUCAGGAGAUACUGCCUGGCUCGAGGCCGGGAGAGGUGAGAGGUACUUCAGGGGUAGGGGUGAAAUCUUGUAAUCCUUGAAGGACCACCAGCGGCGAAGGCGCCUCACCAGAACGGACCUGACGGCGAGGGACGAAAGCUAGGGGCACGAACCGGAUUAGAUACCCGGGUAGUCCUAGCCGUAAACGAUACUCGCUAGGUGUCGGCCACGGUGCGACCGUGGUCGGUGCCGUAGGGAAGCCGUGAAGCGAGCCACCUGGGAAGUACGGCCGCAAGGCUGAAACUUAAAGGAAUUGGCGGGGGAGCAC